rnacentral:rRNA from 1 species
AUGAACGCUGGCGGCGUGCUUAACACAUGCAAGUCGAACGAAGCAUUUAAGACAGAUUACUUCGGUUUGAAGUCUUUUAUGACUGAGUGGCGGACGGGUGAGUAACGCGUGGGUAACCUGCCUCAUACAGGGGGAUAGCAGCUGGAAACGGCUGGUAAUACCGCAUAAGCGCACAGUACCACAUGGUACAGUGUGAAAAACUCCGGUGGUAUGAGAUGGACCCGCGUCUGAUUAGCUUGUUGGCGGGGUAACGGCCCACCAAGGCGACGAUCAGUAGCCGACAUGAGAGGGUGACCGGCCACAUUGGGAAUGAGACACGGCCCAGACUCCUACGGGAGGCAGCAGUGGGGAAUAUUGCACAAUGGAGGAAACUCUGAUGCAGCGACGCCGCGUGAGUGAAGAAGUAGUUCGCUAUGUAAAGCUCUAUCAGCAGGGAAGAUAGUGACGGUACCUGACUAAGAAGCUCCGGCUAAAUACGUG